AUUGAACGCUGGCGGCAGGCCUAACACAUGCAAGUCGAGCGGAUGAAGGGAGCUUGCUCCUGGAUUCAGCGGCGGACGGGUGAGUAAUGCCUAGGAAUCUGCCUGGUAGUGGGGGAUAACGUCCUGAAACGGGCGCUAAUACCGCAUACGUCCUGAGGGAGAAAGUGGGGGAUCUUCGGACCUCACGCUAUCAGAUGAGCCUAGGUCGGAUUAGCUAGUUGGUGGGGUAAAGGCCUACCAAGGCGACGAUCCGUAACUGGUCUGAGAGGAUGAUCAGUCACACUGGAACUGAGACACGGUCCAGACUCCUACGGGAGGCAGCAGUGGGGAAUAUUGGACAAUGGGCGAAAGCCUGAUACAGCCAUGCCGCGUGUGUGAAGAAGGUCUUCGGAUUGUAAAGCACUCUAAGUUGGGAGGAAGGGCAGUAAGUUAAUACCUUGCUGUUUUGACGUUACCAACAGAAUAAGCACCGGCUAACUUCGUG
rnacentral:rRNA from 1 species